AACGAACGCUGGCGGCGUGCCUAACACAUGCAAGUCGAGCGAUCCCUGGGGGGCAACUCUUGGGGGGAGCGGCGGACGGGUGAGUAACACGUGGGUAACCUACCCAGGGGCCUGGGACAACCCUUCGAAAGGGGGGCUAAUACCGGGUACGCUCCUCCGGGCGCAAGCUGGGGGGAGGAGAGGGGCGCGGCAACGCAUUCGCCCCUGGACGGGCCCGCGGCCCAUUAGCUAGUUGGCGGGGUAACGGCCCACCAAGGCGAUGAUGGGUAG
rnacentral:rRNA from 1 species